rnacentral:rRNA from 1 species
AUUGAACGCUAGCGGGAUGCCUUACACAUGCAAGUCGAACGGAGUGGCGAACGGGUGGGUAAUGUAUCGGAACGUGCCCAGUAGCGGGGUAUAACUACGCGAAAGCGUAGCUAAUACUGCAUACUAUUGGAGCGGCCGAUAUCGGCUUAGCUAGUUGGUGGGGGAACGGCUCACCAAGGCGACGAUGCGUAGCUGGUUUGAGAGGACGCCCAGCCACACUGGGACUGAGACACGGCCCAGACGCCUACGGGAGGCAGCAGUGGGGAAUUUUGGACAAUGGGGGAAACCCUGAUCCAGCCAUCCCGCGUGUGUGAGGAAGGCCUUCGGGUUGUAAAGCACUGUUGGCAGGAAAGCGGUACCUGCAGAAUAAGCACCGGCUAACUACGUGCCAGCAGCCGCGGUAAUAC